rnacentral:tRNA from 1 species
CCUAUUUNACUCCAAAAAUCUUUAUCCUACCCCCUUUUUCGUUAGCG